UACGUAGGGUGCGAGCGUUGUCCGGAAUUAUUGGGCGUAAAGAGCUUGUAGGCGGUUUGUCGCGUCUGCUGUGAAAUCUCGGGGCUCAACCCCGAGCGGUCGUGAGAAACUGGCAGGCUAGAGUGCGGGAGAGGAGAGUGGAAUUCCUGGUGUAGCGGUGAAAUGCGCAGAUAUCAGGAAGAACACCCGUGGCGAAGGCGGCUCUCUGGAACGCAACUGACGCUGAGACGCGAAAGCGUGGGGAGCAAACAGG
rnacentral:rRNA from 1 species